AUUGAACGCUGGCGGCAUGCCUUACACAUGCAAGUCGAACGGUAACAGGUUAAGCUGACGAGUGGCGAACGGGUGAGUAAUGUAUCGGAACGUGCCCAGUCGUGGGGGAUAACUACUCGAAAGAGUGGCUAAUACCGCAUACGACCUGAGGGUGAAAGCGGGGGACCGUAAGGCCUCGCGCGAUUGGAGCGGCCGAUAUCAGAUUAGCUAGUUGGUGGGGUAAAAGCCCACCAAGGCGACGAUCUGUAGCUGGUCUGAGAGGACGACCAGCCACACUGGGACUGAGACACGGCCCAGACUCCUACGGGAGGCAGCAGUGGGGAACUUUGGACAAUGGACGCAAGUCUGAUCCAGCCAUGCCGCGUGCGGGAAGAAGGCCUUCGGGUUGUAAACCGCUUUUGUCAGGGAAGAAACGAGUUUCUCUAAUACAGAGACUUAAUGACGGUAUCUGAAGAAUAAGCACCGGCUAACUACGUGCCAGCAGCCGCCGCGGUAA
rnacentral:rRNA from 1 species